CGGAUCCAAACCAAAGUCAAGGAAGGGGUCUGCGCGUUCAGAUCAUGCUCACAUGUUCAUGUUUUCACUACGUUCAUCUCAAGCUCUCCUCACCUGAGUUCCAACCACCUCCGCCACGUCGGGAUUCGUCACCGGCGGAGGAGGAGGGUCAAAACAACAAAUCUUAAACCAUUCCCUUCGUCUCACCAAGCUCUAUCCGUAUUCAACCUUAUUUUUCUCUGAUUCCAACCAAAUCAUUCUAACCGAAUCAAAUCAUGUAUGAACCCGAGAUCAUCUUUUCAAAACUUAAAAGCUAAGGAGAAGGAAUUAAAUCUAAUACAGUUAGGGAUUUACUUCCUGGGACUAAGAGCUACAUUGAAGUAACAAUUUGGGUGUAAAUCGAAGGAGUGAUGAAACGCUUACCGAACAGAGUAACUUCGGAGGCUCUUCCAAGAGAUUGAUGAUGAGCUUCAGGGCUUGCUCUAUGCUUGGAGUUUUUCCAUGAUCUCAAGGUUGCUUGAAAUGAAACCACCAUGAAUGACUUGAAGUAACAUGGUUACUUAUAGAUAAAGAAAGCUCGGGAUUGAAGCCACAAGGAAAGAUGGACAAAUGAAGAAACAAAGUGAACAUUUAGGAUUAGGUUUAGAUUAGUCGACUUUGGUCAAUUGGUUGAGCAAAAAGUCAAUAGUUGACCAAAGUCAAAUGUAGGUCAAAAUAAAGUUUUUUGUAAUUUUUGUAUGAGUUAUUUGUAAAUGGUAUUGUAUGAAUGAAAUGAAUAUUUUGGAUGAAAAUAGUUCUUUAUUUGA